UGCAGUGUCACACCUAUAGUUGGAAUAUGUUUGCUGAGUUUUAUGUUCUGUUUCUGUUCUGAUCUAUUUUGCUGAGGCAGCACUAUUCAUAGGCGGCUUGAUUAAAUACUUUCUCAGUUUGGCUGGAAGCAUAUAAUUGUUUGAUUGCUUCUUCAAAAAUCUGGUUACUUCCUCACCACUUAUUCACCAUAUAGACUGGAGUUAACAUUAGCAAAAACCUGGCAAUGCCAAGACUAGUUCUAAGACUAGAAACACACAAAUCUCUGCUACAGAUUUAUGAGGAAAAAAAUUAUUUCAUCCUGCUGUUUUUAUAGCAAACUGAAAAGGUCUGGUGAUGGUACUAUUAGUUAUAAGACAAACCUGCAACCCCAUUAAAAACAAAUUAUAACAUUAUAAAUGCAUGAAAUUCUGGUAACAUUGCUUUAUAAGAAUGGUCAUUAAUCUGGUUUUCUAGACACUGAAAUGCGAAUCUACUCAGUGCUCUUGAUUCAUUCUGUAAAUUCCAAUUCGAGUUCUGCAUCCAGCUUCAUCUCCUUCUCCAACAUUAAACCACUCCAUCUUUAAAAAGCACAGAUUGAGAUGGGGCGGUGUUGAGGCAUUAUGAAAUGUACCCAAAUUAAUAAAAACAACCACUUAAGAUGCAAUUUCCAAACAUUUGAGUUUUUCUGAACUACAAAAUGCUUUUGUGCUGCAGCCAUGGCUGAAAAAUAAUUAGUUUUAAAUUUUUUCACAUUAUGUGUGUGUUGUACAGGAUUUUUGUAAUACUAAGAAAAAUAAACAAACAAAACAGAUACUGGCUCUUUAAACCUAAAUUGUAAUUUCAAUACUUGCUCUCCAAAAUACACUCACGCCCUCGUGUGGAUGGAACUCGACAUGACAAAGAAAACUUUUUUUGCCAGUUAGACAUUUUAUUGUCUUGCCUGAGGAAAAUGCAAUCUUCAAAAGUGUGUUUUAUAUAUAUAUAUAUAUAUAUAUAUAUAUAUAUAUAUAUAUAUAUAUAUAUAUAUAUAUAUAUAUAUAUAUAUAUAUA